ensembl:snRNA U6 U6 spliceosomal RNA
GUGCUCCCUUUGGCCACGCAUGUACUAAAAUUGGAACGAUACACAGACGAUGAGCAUGGCCCCGUGCAAGGACAACAUGCAAACUCGUGAAGCAUUCCAUAUUAAA